UACGUAGGGUGCAAGCGUUAAUCGGAAUUACUGGGCGUAAAGCGUGCGUAGGCGGUUGUGUAAGCCAGAUGUGAAAUCCCCGGGCUUAACCUGGGAAUGGCAUUUGGGACUGCAAGGCUAGAGUGUGGCAGAGGAGACUGGAAUUCCUGGUGUAGCAGUGAAAUGCGUAGAUAUCAGGAGGAAUACCGAUGGCGAAGGCAGGUCUCUGGGCUAACACUGACGCUCAUGCACGAAAGCGUGGGGAGCAAACAGG
rnacentral:rRNA from 1 species